rnacentral:rRNA from 1 species
GGAGCGCGCGGCUAUCUGCAGUCGAGCGAAUCUUUAGGAGCUUGCUUCUAAGGUUAGCGGCGGACGGGUGAGUAACACGUGGGCAACCUGCCUGUAAGACUGGGAUAACUUCGGGAAACCGGAGCUAAUACCGGAUAAUCCUUUCCCUCUCAUGAGGGAAAGCUGAAAGACGGCGCAAGCUGUCACUUACAGAUGGGCCCGCGGCGCAUUAGCUAGUUGGUGAGGUAACGGCUCACCAAGGCGACGAUGCGUAGCCGACCUGAGAGGGUGAUCGGCCACACUGGGACUGAGACACGGCCCAGACUCCUACGGGAGGCAGCAGUAGGGAAUCUUCCGCAAUGGACGAAAGUCUGACGGAGCAACGCCGCGUGAACGAUGAAGGCCUUCGGGUCGUAAAGUUCUGUUGUUAGGGAAGAACAAGUAUCGGAGUAACUGCCGGUACCUUGACGGUACCUAACCAGAAAGCCACGGCUAACUACGUGCCAGCAGCCGCGGUAAUACGUAGGUGGCAAGCGUUGCCCGGAAUUAUUGGGCGUAAAGCGCGCGCAGGCGGUCCUUUAAGUCUGAUGUGAAAGCCCACGGCUCAACCGUGGAGGGUCAUUGGAAACUGGGGGACUUGAGUGCAGAAGAGGAAAGCGGAAUUCCACGUGUAGCGGUGAAAUGCGUAGAGAUGUGGAGGAACACCAGUGGCGAAGGCGGCUUUCUGGUCUGUAACUGACGCUGAGGCGCGAAAGCGUGNGGAGCAAACAGGAUUAGAUACCCUGGUAGUCCACGCCGUANACGAUGAGUGCUAAGUGUUAGAGGGUUUCCGCCCUUUAGUGCUGCAGCUAACGCAUUAAGCACUCCG